AUGUGCACUGCACGCGGGGUGGAGGCAGAACGACGGGAACCCCGGGAGGAGCGCUCGGGGGCCCUUGCCGCUGGCCGUGACAGAGGUGCAGCUCGUCGUCGUCCGCCCUCCGCCGAACACCAUGGGAGGAGCAGUCUAGCUCAGCGCCAGGUGAACGACGCGAGAUUGGGAGGAGGUUCGUGGGGGAAGAGCCAAGAUCCAUCGUCGGCUGGGCAGGGGAUGCUCAGAUCCAUCGCUGGCUGGGUGCUGGGUGGCCGGAACGAGCUCAGUGGAAGGAGGUGGGUCAAGGUGAUGAGGACAGGGGGCGCUCCGGUGCUGGGAGGAAGUGCGGCGCGACCGCGCGGGGAAGGAGCCAUGGGGAGGGAGGCGCGGGGAAGGAGGAGGUUAGGUGGGAUGGGCGCGGCCCUGGCUGAAGGAAGGAGGUGGAGGGAGUGGGUGGAGGGGAGAGGUCGUGGGUGGAGGAAGGAGGUGGAGCGCCGGCGGAAGAAGGUGGAGUCGGAUUGGGGUCGUGGUCGUGCGGGAGGUGGGUUGGGGUGUUAG
rnacentral:rRNA from 1 species